GUGUACCGGAAGGUGCACCUGGAAAGUCAGGAUAGAGCUUGAUUAGUUAAGCAUUUCAUUUACACUGAAAAUACACUGUGCAAUUCAGUUUAUUCUGAUAAAUUUUAACUUACUUUAGUUGUUAGUUGUUAAAAGUUUUUUUAAUUAAAUUAUUUUUAAUAGGUUAUGUUUGUGUAUAGAAUAUAGAUAAAAUUAUUUAAGUGGUAGGUUAAUUGUAUCGUGAGAGGUUGAUUGAAAUAGUUUGAAAAUAUAUUUUUAUAAAAGUAGAUUAAUGAUUGUACCUUGUGUAUCAGGGUUUAUUAAAAAAAUUGCAAAUAUUUGUAUUUUCCCGAUUUGAAGAGAGCUAAAUAAAUGUGUUAGUUAAUGUGGAAUAAUUAUUAAUAACAUUUAUUUAGUAAUGAAACGUUAUCCGUUCUUUAAGAUAUCUGGUUUUCCGAGAAAUGAAUUUAAUUCAGGUUUAAAAAAGUGUAAUUUAAUUUAUUAAAUAAAUCAUUUUUUUAAGCUAAUGCCCUGGGGGAUAAGCUUUAGGGUAGGUUUUAUAAUUAGUGAAAUUUUAAAAGAUUUAGUAGGCUUAGAAUUAGCCAUCUAUUAAAGGAUGUUAUAAUUUAAUUUUUUGUAAGUUUAAUUUUCUAAGAAUUUAAGUUUUAUAUCGGAGCAAUGUAACUAAUUUUUAGUUACUUGAGAUAAUGAUAAAAUUAGUAUAAAAAUUGUUUAAAUUAUUAAAAAAAAUGUGAGGUUACAUUAAGGAAUUAGGCAAAUUAGUACUCGCCUGUUUAACAAAAACAUGUCUUCUUGAUUAUAAUUUGAAGUCUGACCUGCCCACUGAAUUUUAUAUUUGAAGGGCCGCGGUAUUUUGACCGUGCAAAGGUAGCAUAAUCAUUAGUCUUUUAAUUGAAGGCUAGAAUGAAUGGUUGGACGAGGUACUGACUGUCUCGGUGUGAUUGAUAUUAGAAUUUAACUUUUAAGUUAAAAGGCUUAAAUAUAUUAAG
rnacentral:rRNA from 1 species